CUGGAGUCCAGAGUGUGCUCUUCUCUAUCUUCCUCUGGGCCGUUUUGCUGUUCGUGACAUGAGACAGACCGUUGCCUUGGGUGUCAUCAAAGAAGGCAAGAAGGCAGCUGGAGCUGGCAAGGUCACCAAAUCUGCCCAGAAAUCUCAGAAGACUAAAAGAAUAUUAUCCCCAGUACCUGCCACGCCAGCCUUAAUCAGUGGUGGAAGAGCGGUGUCACAACUGUUUGUGUCAACUGGCCAUUUAAGUUUAAUAGUAGAAGACUGAUUAAUGAUAAUAAUGCAUCAUAAAACCUUCAGAAGAAAAGGGAAAUGUUUUGUGGACCAUUUGUGUGUGUGUGUGCGUGUGUGUGUGUG